GCUGCAUUGGAAUACCGAUAAAUUAACGUACUUACGUUUAGAAUGGUUAUUCAUUGAAGCAAUAUCGAGCGCUCAUUCGUGCAGAGAACACCGUUUUGAGUUUAUUCCAUUUUCGAAUUUUGAAACUCGAAUUUGUAACGAUGCCUUGCGGAGGUUGCGGUGAUAAUUGCAAGUGCAGCACGAACCAGUGCGGCUCGUCGUGCAAA